rnacentral:SRP_RNA from 1 species
GCUGGGCGUGGUGGGGUGCCCCUGUAAUCCCAGCUACUUGGGAGGCUGAGGUGGGAGAAUUGCUUGAAUCCAGGAGGUGGAGGCUGCAGUGAGCCAAGAUUGCACCACUGCACUCCAGCCUGGGUGACAGAGCAAGACCCCAUCUCAA